rnacentral:rRNA from 1 species
AUGGCUACGAAGAAAUAUUUCUUUGGCUAUGGAUCCGUCUCGAUUAAAGACGGCUCAGAAAUUAGAUUCUGGGAGGACAAGUGGCUAGGAGAUACCACACUCCGGGAACAAUAUCCAGCUCUAUACAACAUUGUGCACCACAAGGGUGAUACUAUUGCCACGGUAAUGAAAUCAUUUCCGACAAAUGUGACAUUCAGAAGAGAUUUAAUUGGACCCAGACUACAAUCAUGGAACAUCCUGCUCCAACGGUUGUCCACGGUGCAGUUGUCACAUGGGUCUGAUGUUUUCCGGUGGAACCUCCAUAGGAAUGAUCAAUUCUCAGUGGAGUCAAAUGUAUAG